GAUGAAGAACGCAGCGAAAUGCGAUAAGUAAUGUGAAUUGCAGAAUUCAGUGAAUCAUCGAAUCUUUGAACGCACCUUGCGCCCUUUGGCCAUUCCGAAGGGCAUGCCUGUUUGAGUAUCAUGAACACCUCAACUCUUUAUGGUUUUCCAUGAUGAGCUUGGACUCUGGGGGUUUUGCUGGCUCACAGUCGGCUCCUCUAAAAUGUAUCAGCUUACCAGUGUUUGGUGGGUAUCAUGGGUGUGAUAACUAUCUACGCUUGUGGUUUUUCCACCAGGUAACCUUCAGCAGUGGAGGUUCGCUGGAGCUCAUAGAUGUCUCUCCUCAGUGAGGACAGCCCUUUGAAUGUUUGAUCUCAAAUCAGGUAGGACUACCCGCUGAACUUAAGCAUAUCAAUAAGCGGAGGA
rnacentral:misc_RNA from 1 species